GGCAGGGGCUACUGCAUGCCAGGAACUUUAUGGACAACAACUGUAGCCCACACCACGGCCCCGUCGGUCUUCCCGCUGUCCAACAAAUGUGGCACCACGUCCGGCUCCACGGUGUCCCUGGGCUGCCUGGUCUCUGGCUACUUCCCGGAGCCCGUGACUGUGACCUGGAACUCGGGCUCCCUGACCAGCGGGGUGCACACCUUCCCAUCUGUCCUCCGCUCGGGCCUCUACUCUCGGAGCAGCAUGGUGACGGUGCCCGCCAGCUCGUCCGGCCAGACCUUCAUCUGCAACGUAGCCCACCCGGCCAGCAGCACCAAGGUGGACAAGAUCGUGCCCGUAAUUGAAGAAAAACCCACCAGCCCGCCUCAUACGUGCCCACCUUGUGAGAACCCAGGAGGGCCCUCGGUCUUCAUCUUCCCCCCGAAACCCAAGGACACCCUCAUGAUCUCCCGGACGCCCGAGGUCACAUGCAUGGUGGUGGACGUGGCCCCGGAUGACCUCGAAGUCGAGUUCACCUGGUACGUGGACAAUGAACAGAAGAGAAAGGAGAUUGUGAAGGCGCAGCAGCUGCAGCUCAACAGCACCUACCGCGUGGUCAAGUCCUUCGCCAUCGCGCACCAGGACUGGCUGAAGGCCAAAGUGUUCAAGUGCAAGGUCAACAACAAGGCCAUCCCCUCCCCCAUCGAGAGGACCAUCUCCAAGGCCAUAGGGCAAGUCCGGGUGCCACAGGUGUACGUCCUGGGCCCACAGUCGGACGAGUUGGCCAGGGACAAGGUCAGCGUGACCUGCCUGGUCAAAGACUUCUUCCCGCCGGACAUCAGCGUGGAGUGGCAGAGCAACGGGCAGCCGGAGCCCGAGACCAAGUACUCCUCGACCCCGCCCCAGAAGGACCAGGAGGGCUCCUUCUUCCUGUACAGCAAGCUCACCGUGGACAAGGCCCGGUGGCAGCGGGGGGACCCCUUCACGUGCGAGGUGAUGCACGAGGCCCUGCACAACCACUACGCCCAGAAGACCGUCUCCCGGAACCCGGAACUGCUCCUGGACGAGAGCUGUGCCGAGGCCCAGGACGGGGAGCUGGACGGGCUGUGGACCACCAUCUCCAUCUUCAUCACCCUCUUCCUGCUCAGCGUGUGCUACAGCGCCACCGUCACGCUCUUCAAGGUGAAGUGGAUCUUCUCCUCGGUGGCCGACCUGAAGAGGACCAUCGUCCCCGACUACAGGAACAUGAUCGGACAAGGGGCCUAGCCUCCCUUCCAGCAAGCAGCCGGCUGCCCGGACCCGCCCGCCGGUCCACCUGCUCCACCUGCUGCAACGCCUGCUCCUCCGCCCUCUGACCUCGCUGGCCUCUGACCUCUCCACCCUGGGACCACAGGACCCCCUGAGCCAGCACCCGAGACCUCUGGC